GACGAACGCUGGCGGCGUGCUUAACACAUGCAAGUCGAACGGUAAGGCCCUUCGGGGUACACGAGUGGCGAACGGGUGAGUAACACGUGGGUGAUCUGCCCUGCACUUCGGGAUAAGCCUGGGAAACUGGGUCUAAUACCGGAUAGGACUCCGGACUGCAUGGUCUGGGGUGGAAAGCUUUUGCGGUGUGGGAUGGGCCCGCGGCCUAUCAGCUUGUUGGUGGGGUGAUGGCCUACCAAGGCGACGACGGGUAGCCGGCCUGUGAGGGUGAUCGGCCACACUAGGACUGAGAUCCGGCCCAGACUCCUACGUGAGGCAGCGGUGGGGAAUAUUGCACACUGGGCGCAAGCCUGAUUCAGCGACGCCGCGUGGGGGAUGACGGCCUUCGGGUUGUAAACCUCUUUCAGCAUCGACGAAGCGAAAGUGACGGUAGGUGCAGAAGAAGGACCGGCCAACUACGUGCCAGCCGCCGCCGUAA
rnacentral:rRNA from 1 species